rnacentral:misc_RNA from 1 species
UUGAAUGUUUGAAGUAGUUGAGCUGGUCUUUACAGACAAGUGCUUGCUACUUCUAUUCAUCUCAUCCACCUGUGCACUCAUUGUAGAACUCUGCAGAACGUCUUAUGUUAACUCUGAGACAAGUAAAGCGGGCUUCUAUGUCUUUAUACACUCUAUGAAUGUCUUGAAUGUCUUUUAUUGGGACUUGAUUGGCCCUUUUAAAACUUUAUA